rnacentral:lncRNA from 1 species
CAAGAACUCACACAACAGCUGUAUGAGUUAAGCUGAAAGCUUGUCACAUACCAAUAGUGCUGAUAUAGUUGUUCACAGAGAUAAAAAUUAUAUUUCUACGUGGUGCCAGGACAUAGUUUAUUGAAGACUCACUUCUUUCCAUGGAAAAGAUCAAACCAGGCUGUGAAUGCACAGAUACCUCACUCUGUGGUAGAGUAAGGAGAGAACCUGCCUGACAUCAGUGGAAUCUCGUGGCCAAACUCCCACUCAGAAGCAACUUUAAAGUAAGUUUCCGUCUUUUUUUUUUUGGAGAUAAGCACCCUGUCUUUUCUUAUACAAUCAGUUACGAGGAUGCAACCAAGAGGUUGUAGGUUCACAGCCACCCUUGUUGCUCUGUGUUCCAGGAGACUUUCGACAUGGUAACAGCUUCAAGGACAUCAGUCAUUCUUGAUGAAAGAGCACUGAACAUCAAGGCCUGAGUACAGAAAGCUGGACUUCUCCUCCUGUGCCUCUGACCCUCAUGCACCAAAGUCUUCCCUCUACCACCACCUACUUUAGCUCCCACACAAGAACAGAGCAUCCAGACCGAGUGGGAGAUAGGCAGAAGCUUGGAGGGAAAUAAUAUCUGCACUGACCCAAAGUCCAGAGGCAGAAACACUGGGCUGCAUUUACCUACUCAAGAGCCCAUGCCCUGAAGGUUGAGCUCAAGGACACACCCAGGCAAGUCGCUGAAGUUUUUCCUUUGCUCUGCCUGCUGAUCUCUGCUCUCUCCUCAUUACUCCCUAAAAAUGGAGCGAUCCACACGAGAAAUUUGCCUCAACUUCAUGAUUGUCCUGAUUACUGUAAUCCUCAUGUGGCUCCUUGUGAAGUCUUACCAGGACUGAAAGACAAUCAGAAACUUUGGGAGAUGAUUUAAGUGUGUGUCUCCAGAGAAAAGUAACAGCCACAGCACGCUGCGGUGAUUAGCUUUCAGCCAAUUGAGGAUGUCGUGAACCUUUUUUUUACUCUCUCCUGUCUGUUGCCUGUGUUAAUGUUUGUAACGGGUCUGUGAUUAUGUAGUCAUUUUAUUGUGUAGUGAUCCAGCUGUAAAAUGUAAGAUGCUUAGGCACUGUUCAACCUGUCUCUCUCCUCCGGUAGUUACUGUGAGUGCUGUAUCCCCCUGCCCACCAUGCAGGCUUGUUUGACACCAGUGUCAGGUUCUCGAGGGUGUAAAACUGCAGCAUGUAGUGAAAGUGCCUGUAUUUACCAGUGUAAGAGGCAUAAACUCGCUUAGCAGAAAGGAAUGUGAAACCUCUGCUUUCACUUGCACAUUUUGUUUAAAUAAAGUCCAUGUAAACCCAUUCUUUGGAGCA